rnacentral:misc_RNA from 1 species
GGAAAUCUUAUAAAAUUUCUUAAACGAAAGUUAAUACAAUUGCUAAAACUUAAUGAAUGUACUUGCAAUUUUCCAAUUAACAUAUUGGAUCAGUUAAUGAACAUAAUCUCAUGUGCUGAUCAAUUGGAACUAAAGAAAUCAGAAUUAGAUGCAAGCAAUUAGGUCAAUCCAAAAUUAAAAACCACACCAUUUACAAGCCCCCCAAGG